rnacentral:rRNA from 1 species
UACGUAGGGUGCAAGCGUUACUCGGAAUUACUGGGCGUAAAGCGUGCGCAGGCGGUUAUGCAAGACAGAGGGGAAAGCCCCGGGCUUAACCUGGGAAUUGCGAUGGAGACUGCAAGGCUUGAAUCUGGCAGAGGGGGGUAGAAUUCCACGUGUAGCAGUGAAAUGCGUAGAGAUGUGGAGGAACACCGAUGGCGAAGGCAGCCCCCUGGGUCAAGAUUGACGCUCAUGCACGAAAGCGUGGGGAGCAAACAGG